AAUAACUGAAAGGGGAGGAAAGGUGGGUGGGAAGGGUACAGUAGAGAGCAUCUUGUCGUGUGUUAUAAUACUUUUAUUAUAGUGGAAUAUAGUGUAGUAGUGGUAUGGUUGUGGUUGAGUAGUCUUGCAAGGUAUAGUAGGAUAAUAUAGCAUAGUAUCUUGUCUUGUAGUGGUAGGCCUUAUACCAUAUGGAAUACCUUCCCCAGUCUAGUUGCGGGUUUACUUCUUU